AAAAAUAAUUUCUGUUGCAAUAUUAUUUACGUGUCCUACCACAACAUUACACAUACUUAAGUCAAUGUCACAAAACAUAACACGUUAGCAGGAGUUGCAAAUUACAUAACAGCAGACAAGAUUACAAUUAUUAGGUCAGUGUCAUAGGUUGUAAAUAGAAAAAUUGCAGAUUCCAUAUCGUCGACAGUUUGUUCAAUUACAUAAGAAAAUAAUAAAAAUAAUUAGAAAUGUGCGAAAUGGAACAAAUUUAUAAAUAGGAAGCAGGAUAAGAGAAACAGGCGUUAGUACUACAUGAGCACUACCAAAAAAUACAGUUACAUAUACGAGGAGGGUAUCGACCGAGGAAGUAACGGCCUACCCACUCAAAACACGAACCGAGGAUGGAUAGUGUCAGGAGCGACACAAAGAAAGGAAUCCAAUCCUCAAAAAACAGGACAUAAUACGAUAACUAUCGUACAAUACAGUACAAAUAAGGUCUGUUCCUUUGUUUUUUAGUGUUACACUUUUGAGUGUAAGUGUACGAAAUUCUAUGGACAUUUGAGUGUAAAAUGACAGCGGAUGUGACAGCGGCUCAUGAUGACAGCGGACAGUAUUAAACGAAAAUUAUCGGUGUGCCAAUCAAGCAAAGGGACAAGGAACUUCCGAAUAUGGCCUAACUGGGGGCACAUAACAUAACAUAACCUAAUCCUAAUAUUUACAUUUGUAAAGAAUAUCCUGUUUGUUUUUAUUGUCGAUUGUGCAGCGAAAUUGUGUGCAGCAAAUCAAAUAUAAAGUAGUUUAUCGCCUACAGAACUGAAUUAGUCCAUAGCAGUUAUCAGUUUUUCUUUCUUGGGAAGCUUAUACAUGUAACUUGUAUUGUUGUAAAUUGUGGGAGUAGGGCAGACAGGGAAAAGUCUUAUUUUGUACUGUUCCCAAGGCUCCCCAUGCAAUACAUUUAAAUGAAUUAUCCAAACAAAGCCGGGGACAAUGGAUAAAAGCCACAAUAAGAACAGAUAUAAGGGAACUAAAAUUAAAAUAUGAAAAGUAAACAUUUUAUAAGUGGAACAACCACCAGAUAUUUAAAAGGUAUAAAAAGAAGAAACUGCUGGAAUUUCAAAACAAAUGUGUUUGACUAGUAAAGAUUUGGAUAAAUAACAGGAGUUACUUUGGGCUAUAGCUACGUGCAGAUUUAUUUCCUUGUGGCUUCCUAUGUUAAUUCUUAUUAAUUAUACACUUAAAUAUGUUUUUAGUCUCAGGAAGAUUUUAUAUUUGAUUAUUUUUGAAUAAACAUUAUUAUUAUUAUUACCUUAAUUUCCAUUAAAUAAAUUAACUGUAAUCAAUAAAGUAAUCGUUUAAUUGUUAAUAAAUUAUCAAGUAUGA